GCACCGCUGGUGUAGUGGUACCAUGCAAGAUUCCCAUUCUUGAGACCCGGGCUCAAUUCCUGGGCGGCACA
rnacentral:tRNA from 1 species